rnacentral:hammerhead_ribozyme from 1 species
AGUCGAAACUGGGGGACUAUUGCCCCUAGUCUGACGGGGAUGGCCUCCCGUCACUGAUGAUGACAGGCCAUA